rnacentral:rRNA from 1 species
GAUGAACGCUAGCGGCAGGCCUAAUACAUGCAAGCCGGACGGCAAGUUGAGUAGCAAUACUUGACCUAGAGUGGCGUAAGGGUGCGUAACACGUAUGCAAUCUGCCCACAGCCGGGAGAUAGCCCUCCGAAAGGAGGAUUAAUAUCCCAUAGGAAGAUGAGAUGGCAUCAUUUUAUUUUUAAACUACGGGGCUGUGGAUGAGCAUGCGGUUGAUUAGCUAGUUGGCGGGUAAAGGCCCACCAAGGCGAUGAUCAAUAGGGGACCUGAGAGGGUGAUCCCCCACACUGGCACUGAGAUACGGGCCAGACUCCUACGGAGGCAGCAGU